AUGCGAGUUGAAUGGGAUACCCAAAGUUCCCAUGGCAAACUGCUCAGUAACACAUGAUCAACUUACCCUAUAGAGGAAAAUAACCUCGGGAAACUGAGGAUAAUAUUCCAUAGUUGAAUCGGCUUGGAAAAGUUUUUCAAUAAAAGGGAUAAGAAAAAUGGUUCUUAUUGCUAUAGGAUAGGAUCGUGCUCGAUUAUGGUUGUUGGUGAGGUAAAGGCUCACCAAGCCGAUAAUCGAUAGGGGCCGUGAGAGCGGGAGCCCCGAGAUGGGUACUGAGACAACGACCCAGGCCUUACGAGGCGCAGCAGGCGCGAAACCUCCGCAAUACACGAAAGUGUGACGGGGUUACCCAAAGUGUUCUAUUUAGAACUGUGGUAGGUGAGUAAUGUCCCCUACUAGAAAGGAGAGGGCAAGGCUGGUGCCAGCCGCCGCGGUAAAACCAGCUCUUCAAGUGGUCGGGAUAAUUAUUGGGCUUAAAGUGUCCGUAGCCGGUUUAGUAAGUUCCUGGUAAAAUCGGGUAGCUUAACUAUCUAUAUGCUAGGAAUACUGCUAUACUAGAGGGCGGGAGAGGUCUGAGGUACUACAGGGGUAGGGGUGAAAUCUUAUAAUCCUUGUAGGACCACCAGUGGCGAAGGCGUCAGACUGGAACGCGCCUGACGGUGAGGGACGAAAGCCAGGGGAGCGAACCGGAUUAGAUACCCGGGUAGUCCUGGCCGUAAACGAUGCAUACUAAGUGAUGGCACGGCCAUGAGCCGUGUCAGUGCCGUAGGGAAACCGUUAAGUGUGCCGCCUGGGAAGUACGGUCGCAAGGCUAAAACUUAAAGGAAUUGGCGGGGGAGCACCACAAGGGGUGAAGCCUGCGGUUCAAUUGGAUUCAACGCCGGAA
rnacentral:rRNA from 1 species